GCAGUUGCAACCCUGGCCUCCCUGUGUUCUUGGGGGCCUGGAGUAGGUACAAGCCCCACCCUUCUGGGCACGGCUACAGCCACCCAAAUUGUGGCUGUGGACCUUGACAUCUCUGCGCUCUCCGGGGCCUGGGAAGGCCACCUCUGCCUGGGAAGGCUUGGAGGUGUCUGCUCCUGCUACCUGGCCUCUCCUCACACCCCGUGGCCUCUCCGAUCUAAGAGACAGGUUGAGGCCAAGUCCAGGUGCUGUUGUAGCCUGGCCGGGUGUGCACACACUCACUGCAGCACUGACAUGCCAGCCCCCUGCUGCCUCACCCCCUAUCCAGACUUUGGGCACCGAGGAGCACAGGAGUGAGUCUGAGGGGGUGUUGAGAGCAGCUCUGCGCUGGCCUGCAGACGCCCCUUGGCACAAACAGCCUGGGCGCCAUGAAAGGAGGCAGGAGGUAGACAAGCCCCUUGGCAGAAGGAGAUGGGUAAUUGUGUCACUGUACCACAGGGCAUUCCCCUCAGAUGCAUAAAACUUAAUUUCUGGCUGAGCAAUCUCUUGAGAAGGGACAAAUUUUACAGAAUGCAGAGUCAAGGAAAACUUUCUUUUCAGCAAUUUUCAGGUUUGACAAAUUGUGGGGGUGAAUUAACCAGUGACCUCUGACUGCAGCUCAGAUGGAAAAAAAAGGGAUGGGCCAUUAAACUCCAAAUGGUUAUGAAAAUGGAGCCUUGGACAAUGGCUCCCUUUUACUGGGAACCCAUAGCCCAUAAAACCCCUGCACUCAGCCAGACUCAAAGACACAAUGACCUGCCAACUGUGGAGAGGAGCUGCCCACUUUAGGGUCUCCUCUCUGGUGAGAGCUGAACAUCAGAUGGGAUGACCAGCUGCAGAGAUGAGCUACCCACCCAAUUCUCUUCUCUGCUGAGAGCUGAGAAGACGAUGGUCAGUCUGCCUGUGGAGAGGAGCUACCACUCCAGGGUCUCUCCUCUCUGCUGAGAGCUGAACACUCAUUGGGACACCUUGGCUGCGGAGAGGAGCUACCCACUUUGGGUCACCUCUGACUUAUUCUAUCACUCAAUAAAGCUUCUCUUCACCUUGCUCACCUUC